AAGGUACAUAUCAUAUGUGUGCGUGUGUCCCUGAAAUCUAUCACUUCUUUUAUCUAGGAGGUAUGUUUUUCAACCUGAUUUGAGUAUCUCUGUUUUGGUAGGGUGUUUUCAUAAAUCCAGCCUUCAUUGAGCCAUUUGGACUUACUUUAAUUGAGGUUAUUACUCUUGAGGAUGUAAUAAAGGGAAUUAAGAUCAUGAGGGAGACUUUGAUAUAUUUGUCACAUCUUGAUCACGAGGACACGGAAAAGCUGAUGCUAAAGAAGCUAAGCAAACAAUUAAGUGGCGAGGAUUGGAAUUGGAACAACUUAAACACAUUAUGUUGGGCAAUAGGGUCUAUAUCUGGUUCGAUGAUGGAAGAACA